CAUGGAUUCAGACAUGAAGCAUCGAUACCUUUUGCUUCUAUUUUCGUUGAAUUUUGUCUCUGGUGUUCUUGCUGGUUUCGGAAUUGGAUCAGGCAACGUGUCAGCAGGUCCGAUGUUAACAACGACAACAACUUUUGGGUUAAUUCCAAAUUUAAAUCCAACACGAAACUUGGCCCCAAAUCACUUGGAACCUACGCUCUUGGUUCCAGACAACGAAACGCCUCAAGGUGACAGUGUGUUUGGCGGUGGUAUCGCAACCAAACCCACCAAGCCCCCCAAAAAAGGGUCAGGUGGCAAAGCUGAAGAUACCAAUUGGAUAAAGAUUGAAAACACCACCGCUUAUUCUUGUGAGGAACCUGAAAGUUGCAAGAUAGGAUGUAACGCGCAGGGCAGUGUUGACAGAUGUUCUUGUAGCCCGGAGUGUAUUCCUCAGGGCCGUUGUUGUGCCGAUUUCGAAGAAUUCUGCCAUGGUACCGAGGAUUACGAUGCGGCUGCAUCAAUGACAGACUUCAUAGUUUGCGACUCCCUGAGGAUAGGUGAUAUAAAGUUUAAGAGAAAACCUUACGAUGAAGGGCUGACUAUUGUGAGAAAGUGUCCAGCAUCGACUCCUGUUGAAAUCGCUGACAAGUGUUCAGGUGGACAUGGGGCAGCGGGCCCAAUAUACCUCAAGGACAUGUACCCCUUUCUGCCACUUAUCU